rnacentral:rRNA from 1 species
UCACGUACUAGUGAAUCAUCGAAUCUUUGAAUGCAUAUUGCACCCGUUGAGCCCAUCUUAACGGGUCUGCCUGGCUGAGUGGAGCCAACAAAGUGUGAUGGGGAAGAAGAAGAACGAAAGAGAGUAAAGCUUCUUUCUCUCUCUCUCUAUCAAUCAACUACUCUAUUACACUCUCGGACCAGCUUUUAUCAAAAACUGGACCGGAUAUUGAGUUGUCCCAGAGGACUGUAGUAGUACUCAUACCUUGUAUAGUAGUACUUAGCUUUCUUUCCAUUGGGUCACUAUAAAGUUAGACACAGCUAAAAGCUUUAGUUGAAAAUGUUCAUCUUUGUCUUCUAUUUGUAUGUAUCUCUUUAUGAAUACUACAAAACAGCUGUUCUUAUUGCGCAUAUAAGGUAACUACACUUGGUGUGUACCUCUUCUCCCUCUCCCUCAGAUUAGGCAGGACGACCCGCUGAACUUAAGCAUAUCAAUAAGCGGAGG